UAUCAAUUCUCGCUCAAGAAGACAUCUCAUCUGUCAUCAGAGAGGCACCAGACACUGUCUGUAGAUGGAAAAGGGACUACAUCACCAAGCUGAUUCAGUUCUACAAGUUCAAAUCUGGAACUCGUGAGUUGUACAUGGAGGAUGGAACAGAAAUUGAGAACUCUCUGCUGAACAUGGAAACAAAACACCGCAUUGGGAGAAGAUGGAAAGAAUCUGAUUUCGACUUCCAGUCUACCCUUAAAGAUGUUGACAGUGACCUCAGAGGCCAACUUAUAUGCAAGGCAAGAACUGAAUCAAGGGAGAGAGC